UUCCUGGAGCAGGGCAGAAGUGAAACCCACACGGACUGACACAGCCACAGCGCAGUCUCCUGCAGCCAGGACUCCCAUUUCCAUCACCUGCUUUGCCGAGCCUCGGAAGUGACCUAAGUUUCAGUCCGCCAGCUCCUGACAGCUCGAAUCAAAUGUCUGCCCAAACCUGGAUGGCCCAAGGAGCUGGCAUGGCUGAGGCACAGCUUGGAGCAGCUGGAGCGAUGCGGUGAGCAUCACAUCGAGGAUUCACCGGCCUGAUUUAUGAGGUACCCCUGACAGCCCGGUGACUGGGGGAAGCACGAGUCCAAGCUGACACCAGCUCCCCAGGAAAAAAAAAAAAAAAAAAACAAACAUCGCCGUGUCCUUGUCAGUGCCAGGCCCUCACCUGACCAUCCUCCUCCCUCCAUAUCACGAGGUUUUUACACAGGCUGGAGCCAAGCAGCCGGAGCAGAGAGGACAAAAAGGAUCCUCAGGCACCAGCCACCUGGAGCCGUGCUCCUAUUUUCUCCAUAAAAUUUGGAGAAAUCCCUCUGAACACAGUUUAAACCGAGAUGCUUGGUUAAUCCCCCUGCUAAAGCACCUCAGCGCAUGCCCUGGCUUAUUUUUUACCUUAGCUUUGUAUUUUCAGCUGCUCGGGUUUCACCUCAGUCACUUGAGGCUCUGUGUGAAGGUGCGUGAGGACGGCCAGGAGCAUCCAAAUGGAGGCCCCCAGACGCGAGCGUUUCUCCCUUAACCUUCUUGCACCAUCGGGAAUAAUAAUUCCUCGCAGGGCUGUUGCACAGCUUGAUUCAUUAAGGCUUAUGAAGUGCUUUUAGCUCCUGCACUGGAAGGCUCUGUGCGAGUUAUUUUGGACUGCUCAGGUGUUAGGAGCCGAGGCACUGCAGCAGGAAUACAAAUAAAUCAAGAAGCGAAGCUGCCCCCUUCCCGCAUGCAGCCCCUGCCCCCCACUGUUCUCCAUCACUGCUGGUGUCAAACAGUUAAUUUACAAGCCCAGCACUUUACAAAGCCCCUGGAGCACCAAUUGUCCCUUUCUCAUGCAACAUCAGCUCCUCAAAAAAGCCAGCUGAGUCUCCGGGGUCACCCCGCUCCUGCCCUUCCCAAGCCCCUAUCCAAAACCACCCGAAUAUUUAUUUCAAGCAAGCCCAGUCCAGCAUCACCCCUGUACAGCAUGAUGCUGGAAGUGCUGAAAUAACUCUGGAGGAAGGGGUGGACGCAGUCAGGGCUCUGAUCUGUGCCUUCUUGGGGAGGCAAUAUUCAAUCGGCAAAGGUGACCCAGAUACUCUAACGGGGCCACAGCCUGCCCACGAGCUGCUGCAGCAAGGCAGCAUCCCCAUGCCAGAGCCAGGCAUGGACAGAGCAGCUCUCAGGCCAGCAGGACAAACCGAGAGAGCACAGGGAAAAGAAGCAGGCUUGUGGCUUGGAAAGGUAAAGGCUCUGCAAGUCUCACAUGGCUUUUUUUUUUUCCCUCCCUCCCUCUGUCUCCCUCCCCUCCUCCAGUCUGUUGCACCGGAGCUGUCGGCCAUGCUGUUCCAGUUCAGGGGCUCCUGCAACAGAAAAGAUCAGCUGUUGGAGAACCCAUGGAAAGCCCUGGGGGAGAGCCAUGGCCGCAAGCUGAAGAAAUUCGUCUUUUCCUUGGACUCACUUGCACUGUGA
rnacentral:lncRNA from 1 species